GGAUGUCUGUGUUGCUCUCUGUUUCCUACUGGAGAAUUGGGAUGUGAGCUCUGAGCUGCUGCUCCGAUGCCAUGCCUGCUUGCCUGCUGCCCUGAUCCGCACCAUGAUGGUCGAAGAUUCCUAAUCCUCUCAAACUGAGGAACAGUUUGAGAAGGAACAUAGGGAGAGAGUGUAACAAGCAAGAAAAAUAUGAAAUUGGAGC